UUGACCUCGGAUCAGGUAGGACUACCCGCUGAACUUAAGCAUAUCAAUAAGCGGAGGAAAAGAAACCAACAGGGAUUGCCCCAGUAACGGCGAGUGAAGCGGCAACAGCUCAGAUUUGGAAUCUGGCCCCCAGGGCCCGAGUUGUAAUCUGGAGAGGAUGCUUCUGGCGCGGCGCCUUCCGAGUUCCCUGGAACGGGACGCCGGAGAGGGUGAGAGCCCCGUACGGUUGGACGCCUAGCCUUUGUGAAGCUCCUUCGACGAGUCGAGUAGUUUGGGAAUGCUGCUCAAAAUGGGAGGUAAAUUUCUUCUAAAGCUAAAUACCGGCCAGAGACCGAUAGCGCACAAGUAGAGUGAUCGAAAGAUGAAAAGCACUUUGAAAAGAGGGUCAAACAGUACGUGAAAUUGUUGAAAGGGAAGCGCCCGUGGCCAGACUUGUGCCCCGCGGACCACCCGGCGCCCUCAGCGCCGGUGCACUCCGCGGGGCGCAGGCCAGCAUCGGUUUUCCUAGGGGGAUAAAGGCGGCGGGAACGUGGCUCCCUCGGGAGUGUUAUAGCCCGCCGCGCCAUGCCCCUGGGGGGACCGAGGACCGCGCUUCGGCAAGGAUGCUGGCGUAAUGGCCACCGGCGACCC
rnacentral:rRNA from 2 species